GCCGUGAUAAGGCUAAAACGGCGAUUUGUAAUCAGAGGGUCGGGAGUUCGAGUCUCUCCGGGGGCACCA
rnacentral:tRNA from 1 species